rnacentral:rRNA from 1 species
GACGAACGCUGGCGGCGUGCCUAAUACAUGCAAGUUGAGCGCUGAAGGUUGGUACUUGUACCAACUGGAUUAGCAGCGAACGGGUGAGUAACGCGUGGGUAAUCUGCCUUUGAGCGGGGGACAACAUUUGGAAACGAAUGCUAAUACCGCAUAAAAACUUUAAACACAAGUUUUAAGUUUGAAAGAUGCAAUUGCAUCACUCAAAGAUGAUCCCGCGUUGUAUUAGCUAGUUGGUGAGGGAAAGGCCCACCAAGGCGAUGAUACCUAGCCGACCUGAGAGGGUGGUUCGCCAAAUUGGGACCGGGAAACGGCCCAAACCUCCAAGGGGAGGAGCCGUAGGGAAACUUCGGCAAUGGAGGGAAGUCUUACCGAGGAACGCCGCGGGAGUGGAGGAGGUUCUCGGAUCGUAAAAAUCUGUUUGUAGGGAAGAAAGUUGGUGAGAGUGGAAAGCUCAUAAAGUGACGGUAACUACCCAGAAAGGGACGGCUAACUACGUG